rnacentral:rRNA from 1 species
UACGAAGGGGGCUAGCGUUGUUCGGAAUUACUGGGCGUAAAGGGCGCGUAGGCGGUACUUCAAGUCAGGCGUGAAAGCCCCGGGCUCAACCUGGGAACCGCGCUUGAGACUGGAGAACUAGAGUUCGGGAGAGGAUGGUGGAAUUCCCAGUGUAGAGGUGAAAUUCGUAGAUAUUGGGAAGAACACCGAUGGCGAAGGCAGCCAUCUGGACCGACACUGACGCUGAGGCGCGAAAGCGUGGGGAGCAAACAGGAUUAGAU